AGAGUUUGAUCCUGGCUCAGGACGAACGCUGGCGGCGUGCUUAACACAUGCAAGUCGAACGAAAAGAGGGAAAGAGCUUGCUCUUUCCGGAAUUGAGUGGCAAACGGGUGAGUAACACGUAAACAACCUGCCUUCAGGAUGGGGACAACAGACGGAAACGACUGCUAAUACCGAAUAAGUUCCAAGGGCCGCAUGGCCCAUGGAAGAAAAGGUGGCCUCUACCUGUAAGCUAUCGCCUGAAGAGGGGUUUGCGUCUGAUUAGCUGGUUGGAGGGGUAACGGCCCACCAAGGCGACGAUCAGUAGCCGGUCUGAGAGGAUGAACGGCCACACUGGAACUGAGACACGGUCCAGACUCCUACGGGAGGCAGCAGUGGGGAAUCUUCCGCAAUGGGCGAAAGCCUGACGGAGCAACGCCGCGUGAGUGAUGACGGCCUUCGGGUUGUAAAACUCUGUGAUCCGGGACGAAAAGGCAGAGUGCGAAGAACAAACUGCAUUGACGGUACCGGAAAAGCAAGCCACGGCUAACUACGUGCCAGCAGCCGCGGUAAUACGUAGGUGGCAAGCGUUGUCCGGAAUUAUUGGGCGUAAAGCGCGCGCAGGCGGCUUCCCAAGUCCCUCUUAAAAGUGCGGGGCUUAACCCCGUGAUGGGAAGGAAACUGGGAAGCUGGAGUAUCGGAGAGGAAAGUGGAAUUCCUAGUGUAGCGGUGAAAUGCGUAGAGAUUAGGAAGAACACCGGUGGCGAAGGCGACUUUCUGGACGAAAACUGACGCUGAGGCGCGAAAGCGUGGGGAGCAAACAGGAUUAGAUACCCUGGUAGUCCACGCCGUAAACG
rnacentral:rRNA from 1 species